UACAGAGGUGGCAAGCGUUGUUCGGAAUUACUGGGCGUAAAGGGCGCGUAGGCGGCCUUGCAAGUCAAAGGUGAAAUCCCUCGGCUCAACUGAGGAACUGCCUUUGAAACUGCACGGCUUGAGGCCGGGAGGGGGUAGCGGAAUUCCCAGUGUAGCGGUGAAAUGCGUAGAUAUCAAGAGGAACACCUGCGGCGAAGGCGGGUUGCUGGGCCGACACUGACGCUGAUGCGCGAAAGCUAGGGGAGCGAACGGG
rnacentral:rRNA from 1 species